UGGAACUCUCUUCUGGUGGAAGUAUGAACUGCAAACUCUUCCUCUGUCACGCUGUUUUGACCGUGACAUCAACGUCAGGCACACAGACCUAUGGAGGCUCAGUGAUUCUUCUGUCUCUCUUCACGCCUGUGCUUUGGGCUUCGUUGGCCGGUCACUGAAUGCGUUGAGAUUUCUGGUUUGUUCCAGAAGAUCACUGGGCAGGUUCUUAAGCCAUUGCUUUGCUAUUUGCAAUGAAGGGGGUCCUGACUCAUAGACAUGGACCUUACUAAUCGCCAGAAUGAAGUGGCUUGUCUGCAUCUGAGCACCCCAGGGCUUUCUGUUCCCGUGCUGAGCUUGAGCAGCCCAUGGAAGACCCACAGCGACAUCCUCCGGGCCAUCUGGGCUCCUCGCCCCUCAUUCCUCGUUUUCCUAUUUGUGACUAGUUCAAAUAUAUCCAUGCCAUAUGUAUCCACUUACUAUAAAGCAAAUAUGGUAAAGAUGGCAACUGUAGCAUCCAGGUGGCUGGUGGUGUAUGGGUGUCACAGUCAUUCAACGUCUCUGGGUGCUUGCCAUUUCCACAGUAAACUACGGGGGGAAGCAAAUCCUUUACAUGCGGCGAGAGGCAGGAAGAGGAAACUGGUCAAAACGCAGAAACAUGCCGAGGGCCAGAGAGGCACAGACUCGUUUCCCCAUGGGACAAGUUUCCAAAAACAUUUACCUGUCAGGGGCAGAAGCAGCCAACAUUUCAUUGUCCUUAGGAAACCCGCCUGACCUUCAAACCUUUUUUAUUAAACACUGCUUUCAAAAACAUUUUGACAGAUUCCAGAAGCUCUAAUGGUCUGAAACAUACAUAUUAAUUUAAAAUCUUUAUUAAAAAUGU